rnacentral:rRNA from 1 species
GACGAACGCUGGCGGCGUGCUUAACACAUGCAAGUCGAGCGGUAAGGCCCUUUCGGGGGUACGACGAGCGGCGAACGGGUGAGUAACACGUGGGUGACCUGCCCUCCAGCUCUGGGAGUAAGCCUGGGAAACGUAGGGUCUAAUACCGGAUAUGACCUUGCCUCGCAUGGGGUGGGGUGGAAAGUCCUGGGCUUGAUUGUCUGGGCUCGGGCUGAGGAUGGGCCCGCGGCCUAUCAGCUUGUUGGGGGGUGAGUGGCCUACCAAGGCGACGACGGGUAGCCGGCCUGAGAGGG